ACGCUCGACACCUACGGGAGGGCAGCAGUGGGGAAUAUUGCACAAUGGAGGAAACUCUGAUGCAGCGAUGCCGCGUGAGGGAAGAAGGUUUUCGGAUUGUAAACCUCUGUCUUUGGGGACGAUAAUGACGGUACCCAAGGAGGAAGCUCCGGCUAACUACGUGCCAACAGCCGCGGUAAUCUGAGCGGGCGUGGCAAGGC
rnacentral:rRNA from 1 species